GCCCGGGUAGCUCAGCUGGUAGAGCAGCUCACUCGUAAUGAGCAUGUCAGCGGUUCGAUUCCGCUCUCGGGCU
rnacentral:tRNA from 1 species